CCAAUAGCGUAUAUUAAAGUUGUUGCAGUUAAAAAGCUCGUAGUUGAAUUUCGGGAUUGACGUGAUGGUCAUGCCUUAAGGGGUAUGAACUGUUACAGUUGAUUUCUCACCUUCUGGAGAAACUUGAUGUCCUUUAUUGGGUGCCGCGAGGAACCAGGACCUUUACUUUGAAAAAAUUAGAGUGUUUAAAGCAGGCAUUUUGCUUGAAUACAUUAGCAUGGAAUAAUAAAAUAGGACGGAUGGUUCUAUUUUGUUGGUUUCUAGGAUCACCGUAAUGAUUAAUAGGGAUAGUUGGGGGCAUUAGUAUUCAAUUGUCAGAGGUGAAAUUCUUGGAUUUAUUGAAGACUAACUACUGCGAAAGCAUUUGCCAAGGAUGUUUUCAUUAAUCAAGAACGAAAGUUAGGGGAUCGAAGACGAUUAGAUACCGUCGUAGUCUUAACCAUAAACUAUGCCGACUAGGAAUCAGACGAUGUUAAUUUUUUAAUGACUCGUUUGGCACCUUACG
rnacentral:rRNA from 1 species